rnacentral:rRNA from 1 species
UACGGAGGGGGCUAGCGUUGUUCGGAAUUACUGGGCGUAAAGCGCACGUAGGCGGCUUUGUAAGUUAGAGGUGAAAGCCCGGGGCUCAACCCCGGAACAGCCUUUAAGACUGCAUCGCUUGAACGUCGGAGAGGUGAGUGGAAUUCCGAGUAUAGAGGUGAAAUUCGUAGAUAUUCGGAAGAACACCAGUGGCGAAGGCGGCUCACUGGACGACUGUUGACGCUGAGGUGCGAAAGCGUGGGGAGCAAACAGG